rnacentral:lncRNA from 1 species
AUGCAAGGCCAGCUCAGUCACAAACCCUGCGUUGGCGGCAGGUGCCUUCCCUCUGCGCCCAUAUGGCCUGGAAGUGAUCGGCUCCAGCUGAACAGCUUUAUCCAGACAGUGGCUUCUGCUGACCAGCUGUUUACCCCCUUACUUGAUAUGCACUUGCCAAAGCCUGCAAGCCAGAGGACCCCACAGCUCAGUCCAAAGCAUUCAACCUUUGGCCUACUAGGAUCUCAGCCACACCCCAGAGUCCCAAAGAGAAGUGACUCAGAUUGGAAACAGUGGCUCCAAAUGACCUCAGAAAAACUCUGUCUCCCAGGCUGGAGUGCAGUGGUGAUCUCGGCUUACUGCAACCUCUGCCUUUUGGAUUCAAGUUAUUCUCCUGCCUCAGCCUCCGAGUAG